rnacentral:lncRNA from 1 species
AACUCACAGAGAUUUGCUUGCCGCUGCCUCCUGAGUGCUGGGAUUAAAGAAGGCCAGUGUCCGGUUGUAAAGAUCACACACAGAAGACACAUUAGAAGAGUCCCUUCCUCAUCGGCAUGGGGUGUGUCCUGUGUGAGCUCCCUGAAUGUUGAUUGGAAUGGGAAGUCCUACUUGUAUUCCCUCCUGCCUGCUCCAUUCCUUUUGAGUGACAUGUCUGGGGUCAGGGCUGAGAGCAUGGGGGAGGAUGCAGACCUCAGAGUGGGAGAGUCACCCCAAGGCUCAACUAACACCAGAACCUCGUCCUUGGUGUCUCAGUGGGCAAGGCUGGGCUUGUCAUCUUGCCCAGCCUCUGGUGGAGGCAGCAUAGACUUGGUGACAGCUUCCUCGGAAGAGAUGAAUGAAGCAAUUGUGUACUUGGUGCAGAGAAGAUUCCAGAUGGAGGAGGUGUUUUCAAUGGCAAUAACCCGGAGAUGGAAUAUUUCAAUGAGUCAACAAACAGAGAUAUUGGCA